GGGGAGCCGAAGGGAAACCGAGUCUUAACUGGGCGUUAAGUUGCAGGGUAUAGACCCGAAACCCGGUGAUCUAGCCAUGGGCAGGUUGAAGGUUGGGUAACACUAACUGGAGGACCGAACCGACUAAUGUUGAAAAAUUAGCGGAUGACUUGUGGCUGGGGGUGAAAGGCCAAUCAAACCGGGAGAUAGCUGGUUCUCCCCGAAAGCUAUUUAGGUAGCGCCUCGUGAAUUCAUCUCCGGGGGUAGAGCACUGUUUCGGCAAGGGGGUCAUCCCGACUUACCAACCCGAUGCAAACUGCGAAUACCGGAGAAUGUUAUCACGGGAGACACACGGCGGGUGCUAACGUCCGUCGUGAAGAGGGAAACAACCCAGACCGCCAGCUAAGGUCCCAAAGUCAUGGUUAAGUGGGAAACGAUGUGGGAAGGCCCAGACAGCCAGGAUGUUGGCUUAGAAGCAGCCAUCAUUUAAAGAAAGCGUAAUAGCUCACUGGUCGAGUCGGCCUGCGCGGAAGAUGUAACGGGGCUAAACCAUGCACCGAAGCUGCGGCAGCGACGCUGAUGCGUUGUUGGGUAGGGGAGCGUUCUGUAAGCCUGCGAAGGUGUGCUGUGAGGCAUGCUGGAGGUAUCAGAAGUGCGAAUGCUGACAUAAGUAACGAUAAAGCGGGUGAAAAGCCCGCUCGCCGGAAGACCAAGGGUUCCUGUCCAACGUUAAUCGGGGCAGGGUGAGUCGACCCCUAAGGCGAGGCCGAAAGGCGUAGUCGAUGGGAAACAGGUUAAUAUUCCUGUACUUGGUGUUACUGCGAAGGGGGGACGGAGAAGGCUAUGUUGGCCGGGCGACGGUUGUCCCGGUUUAAGCGUGUAGGCUGGUUUUCCAGGCAAAUCCGGAAAAUCAAGGCUGAGGCGUGAUGACGAGGCACUGCGGUGCUGAAGCAACAAAUGCCCUGCUUCCAGGAAAAGCCUCUAAGCAUCAGGUAACAUCAAAUCGUACCCCAAACCGACACAGGUGGUCAGGUAGAGAAUACCAAGGCGCUUGAGAGAACUCGGGUGAAGGAACUAGGCAAAAUGGUGCCGUAACUUCGGGAGAAGGCACGCUGAUAUGUAGGUGAAGUCCCUCGCGGAUGGAGCUGAAAUCAGUCGAAGAUACCAGCUGGCUGCAACUGUUUAUUAAAAACACAGCACUGUGCAAACACGAAAGUGGACGUAUACGGUGUGACGCCUGCCCGGUGCCGGAAGGUUAAUUGAUGGGGUUAGCGCAAGCGAAGCUCUUGAUCGAAGCCCCGGUAAACGGCGGCCGUAACUAUAACGGUCCUAAGGUAGCGAAAUUCCUUGUCGGGUAAGUUCCGACCUGCACGAAUGGCGUAAUGAUGGCCAGGCUGUCUCCACCCGAGACUCAGUGAAAUUGAACUCGCUGUGAAGAUGCAGUGUACCCGCGGCAAGACGGAAAGACCCCGUGAACCUUUACUAUAGCUUGACACUGAACAUUGAGCCUUGAUGUGUAGGAUAGGUGGGAGGCUU
rnacentral:rRNA from 1 species